rnacentral:rRNA from 1 species
GCCAAGGCAACGGGCGUGCCAGCGGGAGGAAGAACACGCGCUUGAGCUUCACUCUGGUCUCGCUUCUGUG